rnacentral:rRNA from 1 species
GACGAACGCUGGCGGCGUGCUUAACACAUGCAAGUCGAACGAAGAGCGAUGGAAGCUUGCUUCUAUCAAUCUUAGUGGCGAACGGGUGAGUAACGCGUAAUCAACCUGCCCUUCAGAGGGGGACAACAGUUGGAAACGACUGCUAAUACCGCAUACGAUCUAAUCUCGGCAUCGAGGAUAGAUGAAAGGUGGCCUCUACAUGUAAGCUAUCACUGAAGGAGGGGAUUGCGUCUGAUUAGCUAGUUGGAGGGGUAACGGCCCACCAAGGCGAUGAUCAGUAGCCGGUCUGAGAGGAUGAACGGCCACAUUGGGACUGAGACACGGCCCAGACUCCUACGGGAGGCAGCAGUGGGGAAUCUUCCGCAAUGGACGAAAGUCUGACGGAGCAACGCCGCGUGAGUGAGGACGGCCGUCGGGUUGUAAAGCUCUGUUAAUCGGGACGAAAGGCCUUCUUGCGAAUAGUGAGAAGGAUUGACGGUACCGGAAUAGAAAGCCACGGCUAACUACGUG